rnacentral:rRNA from 1 species
AGGACGAACGCUGGCGGCGUGCUUAACACAUGCAAGUCGAACGAGGAUAUGUUGCGGAAGGGCUUCGGCCUGGAAGGGAUGUAUUCGAGUGGCGGACGGGUGAGUAACGCGUGAGCAACCUGUCCCAGACAGGGGGAUAACACUUGGAAACAGGUGCUAAUACCGCAUAAGACCACAGGGCCACAUGGUCCAGGGGUAAAAGGUGCAAACCGGUUUGGGGUGGGCUCGCGUCCGAUUAGAUAGUUGGUGAGGUAACGGCCCACCAAGUCGACGAUCGGUAGCCGACCUGAGAGGGUGAUCGGCCACAUUGGAACUGAGAGACGGUCCAAACUCCUACGGGAGGCAGCAGUGGGGAAUAUUGGGCAAUGGGCGAAAGCCUGAACCCCCAGCAACGCCGCGUGAGUGAAGAAGGCUUUCGGGUUGUAAAGCUCUGUUAUGAGGGACGAAGGAAGUGACGGUACCUCAUAAGGAAGCCCCGGCUAACUACGUGCCAGCAGCGGC